AGUGAACGCUGGCGGUAGGCCUAACACAUGCAAGUCGAACGGCAGCACAGUAAGAGCUUGCUCUUACGGGUGGCGAGUGGCGGACGGGUGAGGAAUACAUCGGAAUCUACUUUUUCGUGGGGGAUAACGUAGGGAAACUUACGCUAAUACCGCAUACGACCUACGGGUGAAAGCAGGGGAUCUUCGGACCUUGCGCGAUUGAAUGAGCCGAUGUCGGAUUAGCUAGUUGGCGGGGUAAAGGCCCACCAAGGCGACGAUCCGUAGCUGGUCUGAGAGGAUGAUCAGCCACACUGGAACUGAGGCACGGUCCAGACUCCUACGGGAGGCAGCAGUGGGGAAUAUUGGACAAUGGGCGGAAGCCUGAUCCAGCCAUACCGGGUGGGUGAAGAAGGCCUUCGGGUUGUAAAGCCCUUUUGUUGGGAAAGAAAAGCAGCAGGUUAAUACCCCGCUGUUCUGACGGUACCCAAAGAAUAAGCACCGGCUAACUUCGUG
rnacentral:rRNA from 1 species